GGCUCCGAAGCUGACUAGUGACGCGAGAGUGGAGGCGACCGGGAGGAGCAAAUUCUGCCUUGUCUUCGGUACCUAGAGGCUGGAUAGAGCUCUGCGCCUGUCUUAACUCUCCGCUAGCAGGUAGACCCGACCCCGACCCCGACCCUCCCGGAUUCGCUGGGCAUCAGCCCGCUGCGGACGGGCCCGUCGCGUAUGGCCCUUUGGCCCACAACGCCCGCCACCGAGGUUCUUCCGUCUGUCGAGCGAGCGAAGAUCUUCCACUGCCAGCUUGUUAACUUCCCUAUCGUGGACCUGUGCUCUGUAGCCACGUGUAAUGCCACCAGCUUGGCGCCAAGUACAGACCACAAGCCCGGACUUCAUUUAACUUUGAAUUUUCAGGAAAGGUUUUAAGGAUCCCGACACCCAAGGUCUCCAAACCGAGCGAAUCUGAACCUCCUGGGAGUGACUGAAUUAAAACGUCCCCUUCUGUAUCUCAAGUUAUCUUACACCCUCCGCUUCCCAAGUCGCAAAAAAAGGUAAUAUUCCUGAAUCUCAGGGAGGGAACUAUGGAAGAUAAAGAACCAAUCACAUUUACUCGCCCCAGGAUGGAAAAAACAGUGGAAUGUGACCAGGCACACCGAAAAAGUAUUGUUAUCUUUCCCUCCUGGAAUAAAAUGCUUAUUUUUUUGUCUUCAG